GGCCGCUUGGUCUAGUAGUAUGAUUCCUGUUUUGGGGUUUGCUUACGUAAGCCAUAUAUACAGGAGGUCGUGGGUUCAAUUCCCACAGCGGCCC